GAUGAACGCUGGCGGCGUGCCUAAUACAUGCAAGUCGAGCGAACAGACGAGGAGCUUGCUCCUCUGACGUUAGCGGCGGACGGGUGAGUAACACGUGGAUAACCUACCUAUAAGACUGGGAUAACUUCGGGAAACCGGAGCUAAUACCGGAUAAUAUAUUGAACCGCAUGGUUCAAUAGUGAAAGACGGUUUUGCUGUCACUUAUAGAUGGAUCCGCGCCGCAUUAGCUAGUUGGUAAGGUAACGGCUUACCAAGGCGACGAUGCGUAGCCGACCUGAGAGGGUGAUCGGCCACACUGGAACUGAGACACGGUCCAGACUCCUACGGGAGGCAGCAGUAGGGAAUCUUCCGCAAUGGGCGAAAGCCUGACGGAGCAAAGCCGCGUGAGUGAUGAAGGUCUUCGGAUCGUAAAACUCUGUUAUUAGGGAAGAACAAAUGUGUAAGUAACUAUGCACGUCUUGACGGUACCUAAUCAGAAAGCCACGGCUAACUACGUG
rnacentral:rRNA from 1 species